rnacentral:rRNA from 1 species
AUUGAACGCUGGCGGCAGGCUUAACACAUGCAAGUCGAGCGGAGAUGAGGUGCUUGCACCUUAUCUUAGCGGCGGACGGGUGAGUAAUGCUUAGGAAUCUGCCUAUUAGUGGGGGACAACAUUCCGAAAGGAAUGCUAAUACCGCAUACGUCCUACGGGAGAAAGCAGGGGAUCUUCGGACCUUGCGCUAAUAGAUGAGCCUAAGUCGGAUUAGCUAGUUGGUGGGGUAAAGGCCUACCAAGGCGACGAUCUGUAACGGGUCUGAGAGGAUGAUCCGCCACACUGGGACUGAGACACGGCCCAGACUCCUACGGGAGGCAGCAGUGGGGAAUAUUGGACAAUGGGGGGAACCCUGAUCCAGCCAUGCCGCGUGUGUGAAGAAGGCCUUAUGGUUGUAAAGCACUUUAAGCGAGGAGGAGACUACUGAGACUAAUACUCUUGGAUAGUGGACGUUACUCGCAGAAUAAGCACCGGCUAACUCUGUGCCAGCCGCCGCAGUAACAC